rnacentral:rRNA from 1 species
UACAGAGACUGCAAGCGUUAUUCGGAUUCACUGGGCGUAAAGGGUGCGCAGGCGGCCAAGUGUGUUAGGCGUGAAAGCCCGGGGCUUAACCCCGGAAUUGCACCUAAAACUACAUGGCUAGAGCAUUGGAGAAGGGUAGCGGAAUUCAACGGUGUAGCAGUGAAAUGCGUAGAUAUCGUGAGGAACACCAGAGGCGAAGGCGGCUACCUGGACAAAUUGCUGACGCUCGAAGGCACGAAAGCGUGGGGAGCAAAAAGGG